rnacentral:rRNA from 1 species
GUAGGGAAUAUUGCGCAAUGGACGAAAGUCUGACGCAGCGACGCCGCGUGAGUGAUGAAGGCCUUAGGGUCGUAAAGCUCUGUUGAAUGGGAAGAAAAAAAUGACGGUACCAUUCGAGGAAGGACCGGCUAACUUCGUGCCAGCAGCCGCGGUAAUACGAGGGGUCCUAGCGUUGUUCGGAAUCAUUGGGCGUAAAGGGUGUGUAGGUGGCCAUGUAAGUCAGGUGUGAAAGCCCCGGGCUCAACCCGGGAAGUGCACUUGAUACUGCUUGGCUUGAGUACCGAAGAGGGUAGUGGAAUUCCAGGUGUAGUGGUGAAAUACGUAGAUAUCUGGAGGAACACCGGUGGCGAAGGCGACUACCUGGUCGAGUACUGACACUGAGACACGAAAGCAUGGGGAUCAAACAGGAUUAGAUACCCUUGUAGUCC